CUGUCUGGGCUGAGUGGGAAUGCAGGGCUGGCUGUAAAUAUGUUUGAGGGGCUCCAGGAUUUCUGUUCCUCCAAGAUUAGCCUCCAUUUGCUCAACUUUCUUCAGAGCCUCCUCCAUGGUCUUCUCACCAUACUCUACACUCUUACUGCCAUGAGAUACACACAAGAGCAGAGGAGUGUCCUGAAGGGAAGAGGGAAAAGAAGAGCUCAUGGAAAGGCCAUCAUAAAAGACCUGAUCAAACAGAGGAAAUUCAGAAAGAUGUGGGAAGAAAGCGUCUCGGAUAAAUCCCGCUGUGAGGUGGAAAGAAGACUCAGAGACGUAUUUCAGAAAUAGCAGACACAGAAAUUUCCCACAUCAUGUCUGCUUCAGGUAAGUAUAUAUGUCAUUUAAAUAUUUAAUAUAACAUGCACAGUAAGUAAAUAUGUAAUAUGCACAAAAAACACUCACUUAUCCACCAACCGGUCGAGGCAGAUGGCCGCCCUCCCUGAGCCUGGUUCUGCCAGAGGUUUCUUCCUGUUAAAAGGGAGUUUUUCCUCUCCACGGUCGCUCAUAGGGAUCAAUUGGAUACAAUAACUUUGUUGCUUUUUGGUCCGUCACAUUGACCAAAAACCAACAUGUUCUUAAUAGAGUGGUAAGUGAGUGUUUUACAUUUUCCAUCUGUGAACGGUAGCUUCUACCGCUCAUUUAUUGAUUUGGCACCAAUUUGGCACAAAAUAAAGAAAACUUUAAAAGACAACAAAUGUUCUUGUCUUUCUUCAAGUUAUUUUCAAUAAAGAAAUUCGGUAAAUCAAAUUGCAUUCAGAGUUAUUCUUGUAUUUCCUCGCGUAAUAUAAGGACAUUAGUAGCUAUCUAGUCAGUAGCCUAAAGUGCAAUAUGUUGGCUACUAAUAAUAUCUUUGUAUUGUUUUUGUUUGGACCGAUGCUCACAGGCUUGCUCCUGUUUGUAGUUGUGGAAAAAUAAUUUAAACAUUGAAACCAAACCGAUUUUCUGAGAUUUACUGAAAGAAAGUUCAAACCUCUGCAAAGGGAUCAAUAAAGCCGUCGUGUGGAUACAAUCUUGUCUAUUCAGUGGUUGGGAGUGAAAUUCUCACCUUCAUGUAGGAACCAGCUUGAUAAUUAAGUGCGUCAGCAAGACCAGGUAUUUAAGGAGCGGCUGUGGCAGCAGCCAAAGUAACCGCUGUUUCCCUUUCAAGCUGCCUAGUUUUUCCUGGAGUUCAGCCUUCAAGUUGAUUCUUCCCUCCCUUAAUUCAGUUUACUUAUUUGUAAGCUACAUGUAUGCUCACUAACAAAGCUAAAUGAGCUAAAUCUAAUGGUGCACUUUAAAUUUGAAGAAAAGGCAGUUCACUUUCUUUUCUCAUCAGUCCUCUCGAUUGUGUCUUGUAGCAGGUUUUUGGCUUUAACACAUCAACGAUCUGUUGGGUUGAGUUGGCCAUAAGGCUUGUCAAAGUUUCAUGUUGGUGGCUUUUUGGGAAAAACAGUCCUGACAAAGUCAAUCAGCCCCUCAUCC
ensembl:lncRNA